GUGCUGGCUUCGCAGCACAUAUACUAAAAUGGAAUGAUUCAGAGGUUAGCAAGGUCCCUGCACAAGGAUGACACACAAAUUCAUGAAGUGUUCUGGUUUUUU
ensembl:snRNA U6 U6 spliceosomal RNA